UAGAUAGAAGCUCGCUGGGUAGAGUGAUUAGCUGUUAAUUAAUUGUUUACGGGAUCGAGGCCCGUGUAUCUAG
rnacentral:tRNA from 1 species